rnacentral:rRNA from 1 species
AGAUGAGGUAAUACCACCUUGACCAAGCCUGAUCCCGUCUGAUCUCAGAAGCUAGCAGGGUCGGGCAUGGUUAGUACUUGGAUGGGAGACCACCUAGGAAGACCAGAUGCUGUACGCG